UACAGAGGUCUCAAGCGUUAAUCGGAAUUACUGGGCGUAAAGCGUGCGCAGGCGGCUUUGCAAGACAGAUGUGAAAUCCCCGGGCUCAACCUGGGAACUGCAUUUGUGACUGCAAGGCUAGAGUACGGUAGAGGGGGAUGGAAUUCCGCGUGUAGCAGUGAAAUGCGUAGAUAUGCGGAGGAACACCGAUGGCGAAGGCAAUCCCCUGGACCUGUACUGACGCUCAUGCACGAAAGCGUGGGGAGCAAACAGG
rnacentral:rRNA from 1 species